rnacentral:other from 1 species
AACGGCCUGCCUUGUGCGAAUUGUUGUGGCCGUGAUUAUCCUACUGGUUAUGAAAAGGGAGCCCGGGUCGACGGGUGGAAUGCAGACCUCCCGGCACUGCCGGAAGAAGGGAGCGUGAAGCCCGGUGCAGGGCACCCACCUACUUGUAAGAGUGGGUUAUAACUAGGCCACAGACGGCAAGGCGGGUUUUGU